rnacentral:rRNA from 1 species
GACUGAGUGGCGCACGGGUGAGUAACACGUANCUGACCUACCCAUAAAUCGCGGAUAACUGGGCGAAAGUUCAGCUAAUACGUGAUGUGAUGCAUCCCUGUGGGGAUGCAUUAAAGGUUUACUGCUUAUGGAUGGGGUUGCGUUCCAUCAGCUUGUUGGUGGGGUAAAGGCCUACCAAGGCGACGACGGAUAACCGGCCUGAGAGGGUGGCCGGUCACAAGGGCACUGAGACACGGGUCCCACUCCUACGGGAGGCAGCAGUUAGGAAUCUUCCACAAUGGGCGCAAGCCUGAUGGAGCGACGCCGCGUGAGGGAUGAAGGUUCUCGGAUCGUAAACCUCUGAAUCAACGACGAAAGACACUUUAAGUGGGAUGACGGUAUUUGAGUAAUAGCACCGGCUAACUCCGUGCCAGCAGCCGCGGUAAU